CCCGUCCGCAGCGGGAGGGGACGCGGCCAUCGCGAGCCCAGAGGAGGAUGCGGCGCCAAGCCGGAGACGGCACCAGGGAGAACUGUGGAGGCUGUUUAGUACUCAGUUCCGAUCUUGGCAGAAGUUUGCUAGCGCCUAGGUGCUUGCUUCAAAGUCAUCUCCAUGAAGCCUUUCCGAUUUAAAAAUUCCUACCUGCACUGCCAUCAUUCCAGAUCCCCAGAUCGGGCUCUAUUCCUCGCCUUUUGAAGAGCACUGAUCAACUUCUAAGGUAACAGCACCCAGGAUUGAUGCAGACUCCCCCAACCACCACCAGGAUGCUGGCACACAGACAAGCAGGAUCCUUUCAAAGCCCAAAUUGGGCCACGUCCCUCCUCUGCUCAGAAUCCUCCCCUGGAUCCCACCUCCACUUACCGUAAAAUGAGUUGGCUCCCUGACCCCUCCCACCUCAGGAUCUUUGCGCAGGCUCUUCCACAGCAGAGGGCACUCUAGUCCCUCAUAUCCUUGAGGUCUUUGCAGAACUCAGGCCUUCCUUAACCAUUGUCAUCAAUACUACAAACCAUUCUCCCUGACACCCCGACUUCCCUUGUCUGGUUUUAGUUGUUUCCUUUGAGGAGCACUCAUCACCAACAUUAACUAUAUACCUCA
rnacentral:lncRNA from 1 species